CUUACACCUGACCUUGGAUGCAGAUUUUGAUUUCACUGUGCAAGACAUGCCUUCCAUAUGAAAGUGGUGGUGUUUGCUGUUAAUGGAAAAUUUCAGUCUCGGGAGGCAUGGAAAACGUUUUGCGCAUUGGUCAGACGAUGCUAAUGAAAUGUUGCUAGGGGUGGCGGAGCAGAUUGUACAUGUUACCAAAGAAAACUAGGUCUCCAUGGUGGACACUUCCCAUGUGGAGAGACAACAGUCAGAAAAAGAAAUCCAGGCCAGUACCACAAAGUAUUGCUGUUCACUUUUUUUUUUAAUAGGAUCAUCUCCCAAAUCAAGGACAGUGUUUGCUGCAAGACUUGCAUCUGUUACAGCUUCUGAAAGAAAUUCUAGAAAAAAAUUAAUGGAGGUGGUGCUGGAAGAGGGGGAUCCUGCAUAUUUGAAUUUGUCCUUAAUAUGUGAAAGACUCAGAGCUGUUGUAGGGACACAGCGGUUUAGAAGACUGUGCCACUUUGCAUGGCUUGACAGUAAGAUUAGAUUGCUAAUACUUUUUCAAUACUUCCACUGAGUAAAAAUAUAUUCCUGUUAAGCAGAAUAUGUUUUAUGCUGCUUUAUGUUAGCCAUAGGAACUGAGCAAGCCAGAUGGGCUGCAUGGUCUG